AGCACGAUCCUACGGGAGACAGCAGUGGGGGAUAUUGCACAAUGGGGGAAACCCUGAUGCAGCGACGCCGCGUGUGGGAAGACGGUCCUCUGGAUUGUAAACCACUGUCCCCAGGGACGAAGAUGACGGUACCUGGGGAGGAAGCUCCGGCUAACUACGUGCC
rnacentral:rRNA from 1 species